rnacentral:rRNA from 1 species
CCUGACGCAGCAACGCCGCGUGGGGGAUGACGGCCUUCGGGUUGUAAACCUCUUUCAGUAGGGAAGAAGCGAAAGUGACGUUACCUGCAGAGGAAGCGCCGGCUAACUACGUGCCAGCAGCCGCGGUAAUACGUAGGGCGCAAGCGUUGUCCGGAAUUAUUGGGCGUAAAGAGCUUGUAGGUGGCUUGUCGCGUCUGCCGUGAAAACCCGAGGCUCAACCUCGGGCGUGCGGUGGGUACGGGCAGGCUAGAGUGUGGUAGGGGAGACUGGAACUCCUGGUGUAGCGGUGAUAUGCGCAGAUAUCAGGAAGAACACCGAUGGCGAAGGCAGGUCUCUGGGCCAUUACUGACACUGAGAAGCGAAAGCAUGGGGAGCGAACAGGAUUAGAUACCCUGGUAGUCCAUGCCGUAAACGUUGGGCACUAGGUGUGGGGAACAUUCCACGUUUUCCGCGCCGUAGCUAACGCAUUAAGUGCCCCGCCUGGGGAGUACGGCCGCAAGGCUAAAACUCAAAUGAAUUGACGG